rnacentral:rRNA from 1 species
UACGUAGGGGGCAAGCGUUGUCCGGAUUCAUUGGGCGUAAAGAGCGUGUAGGCGGCCAGGUAGGUCGGUUGUGAAAACUGGAGGCUCAACCUUCAGACGUCGACCGAAACCAUCUGGCUAGAGUCCGGGAGAGGAGAGUGGAAUUCCUGGUGUAGCGGUGGAAUGCGCAGAUAUCAGGAGGAACACCGGUGGCGAAGGCGGGUCUCUGGGCAGUAACUGACGCUGAGGAGCGAAAGCGUGGGGAGCGAACAGG